rnacentral:rRNA from 1 species
GACGGGGGGGGGCAAGUGUUCUUCGGAAUGACUGGGCGUAAAGGGCACGUAGGCGGUGAAUCGGGUUGAAAGUGAAAGUCGCCAAAAAGUGGCGGAAUGCUCUCGAAACCAAAUUCACUUGAGUGAGACAGAGGAGAGUGGAAAUUUCGUGUGUAGGGGUGAAAUCCGUAGAUCUACGAAGGAACGCCAAAAAGCGAAGGCAAGCUCUCUGGGGUCCCUACCGACGCUGGGGUGCGAAAGCAU